rnacentral:rRNA from 1 species
CAGUCGCCGCGGUAAUACGUAGGUCCCGAGCGUUGUCCGGAUUUAUUGGGCGUAAAGCGAGCGCAGGCGGUUAGAAAUGUCUGAAGUGAAAGGCAGUGGCUCAACCAUUGUAGGCUUUGGAAACUGUUUAACUUGAGUGCAGAAGGGGAGAGUGGAAUUCCAUGUGUAGCGGUGAAAUGCGUAGAUAUAUGGAGGAACACCGGUGGCGAAAGCGGCUCUCUGGUCUGUAACUGACGCUGAGGCUCGAAAGCGUGGGGAGCGAACAGGAUUAGAUACCCCCGUAGUCCCUGUCUCUUAUACA